rnacentral:rRNA from 1 species
AAACUCAAAUGAAUUGACGGGGCCCGCACAAGCGGUGGAGCAUGUGGUUUAAUUCGACGCAACGCGAAGAACCUUACCAGGGCUUGACAUCCCCUGACCGCGUAUGAAAGUACGUUUUCACCCUCGGGUGACAGGGAGACAGGUGGUGCAUGGUUGUCGUCAGCUCGUGUCGUGAGAUGUUGGGUUAAGUCCCGCAACGAGCGCAACCCCUAUCUCUAGUUGCCAGCGAUUCGGUCGGGGACUCUAGAGAUACUGCCCCGGUUAACGGGAGGAAGGUGGGGAUGACGUCAAGUCCUCAUGGCCCUUAUGCCCAGGGCUACACACGUGCUACAAUGGGCGGUACAAAGGGUAGCGAUGCCGCGAGGUGAAGCCAAUCCCAAAAAGCCGUCCACAGUUCGGAUUGGAGUCUGCAACUCGACUCCAUGAAGCCGGAAUCGCUAGUAAUCGUGGAUCAGCAUGCCACGGUGAAUACGUUCCCGGGCCUU